rnacentral:lncRNA from 1 species
ACAUGGUGGUUCUUUGUCUCAUGAAUGUGCACAGCCUGAGGAAAUCAGGCUCAAAACAGCAAAAACCAGCUGUUAUCUUCACCCUGACUCUUUUCUCUUAUUUAGUACAACAUGUGAACACACGAAUCCAGGCUGAGCUGCAGAAGAGGAAGUUGACUCCAGAAGAGGCUGCUUUAAGAGAUGGAUGCUGGGACAAAGAGCCUGGAAAGGAACAUCAAGAUUUCCCAUCUCCUGGGCUCCAGAACAACCACUCUCAGAAAAGCCACAAGUGGUCUGGUAUUUGCAGAGAAAGUGAGGCCAGUUUUCAUUCCUGUUGUGACUCAGAUGAGACAGAGGAAGAUGAAAACUCAUCCUUAAGUUCCCAGGCACAAUCAGACACAGGC